AUAUCAGGCUGCUGAAUUCAUAACAUCGCAAGAUAUAAUAAAGCUGAGAGGAAGAAAAAAGGCAAGAUCAUGAAAGCCACCAGGUGGUGGUCACAGAUAGGAAUUGUUAAUGGAAAAACCAAGUUGUGCCAGAAGUGACUAAAGUGUAAAAUGGAGAAGACUGAGGCUUGCAGUGUGAUAAAGUUCCUGCAUUUGAAGGGAAAUAGGGCCUGACAAAUUCAUUAUGAGAUGAUGGUAGUUUAUGGAAAUGAUUGCCCAUCUUUUGACACUAUUGUGAGGUGGAAAAGGAAUGUCCAAACUGGUCACAUGUCCCCCACAGACGAGCCAAGACAUGGAAGAAAAUCAUUGAUGGACAAUGAGGCCACAGUGAAGCAAAUGGAGUGCUGAAUCCUGGAAGACAGAUGAGCAACCAUCCAAAUGAUCAUGAAUGAAACUGGUCUAAGUUAUGGUAGUGUGUGGAAAAUUAUUCAUGAUGAACUGCACCUGUCUAAAGUAUCUGCACAUUGGGUUCCAUUUUUACUAACCCCUUUCCAGGAACAAACAAGGUAUGACCUUUCAAGACAGACAUUGACAUUGUUGGAAUGGGAUGAAGAGGGUUUUUUUGGUUGUCUGGUAACCAUGGAUGAAUCUUGGCUCUAUCAGUAUGAUUCAGAGACCAAAACCAUGAGCGUGGAGUGGAAGCAUGCCAAUUCUCCUCCCCCCAAAAAGGCAAAGGUGUAAAAGUCACCAGAGAAGGCCAUAUUCUCAGUUUUUUGGGACUAUCAUGGAGUCAUUCUCACAUAUUACCUUGCAAAAAAAAAGACAAACCCUCACUGGCACAUACUACAGCUAUCUUCUAGACAAGUUGCAAGAUGCUCUGAAAAGGAAACGUUGCGGUAUGCUCUCCAGAGGAAUUUGUCUCCUAGCUGACAAUUCACCAACUCACUCAUCUCAAACUGCAGUUAACAAAGCACGUGGCUUUAAGAUUUUGCAGCAUUUGCCUUAUUUUCCCAACCUCACAACAAAUGACUUUUUCUUGUUCCCAGAAAUGAAAAAUCCAUUGCAGGUUCACCAAUUUGACAACACAAAUGACAUCAUUCAUGAAAUGAAAGAGUGAUUUAAGGCACAAUCUGCAGACUUCUACAAUAACUGUAUUCAAAGGGUCAAAAAAUGCUGAGGAAAAUGUAAAUCUGGAUGGUGACUACGUAAAGUUAACAACUACAAAUCAAAACAAACUUUCUGUCAAAUUUUAAAGGUGAUAAUUAAAACUUUA